GGGAGGUAGUGACAAUAAAUAACAAUACAGGGCCCUUUCGGGUCUUGUAAUUGGAAUGAGUACAAUUUAAAUCUCUUAACGAGGAACAAUUGGAGGGCAAGUCUGGUGCCAGCAGCCGCGGUAAUUCCAGCUCCAAUAGCGUAUAUUAAAGUUGUUGCAGUUAAAAAGCUCGUAGUUGAAUUUCGAGGUCAAAUUGUCGGUCGUGCCUCGGUACGUACUGGCAUUAUUGAUUUCUCCUUUCUGACGAUCCGCGAUGUCAUUAAUUUGGUGUCGUGGGGAAUCAGGACUGUUACUUUGAAAAAAUUAGAGUGUUUAAAGCAGGCUCACGCUUGAAUACAUUAGCAUGGAAUAAUGAAAUAGGACGUUUGAUUCUAUUUUGUUGGUUUCUAGGAUCGACGUAAUGAUUAAUAGGGAUAGUUGGG
rnacentral:rRNA from 1 species